rnacentral:rRNA from 1 species
CAGGCCUAACACAUGCAAGUCGAACGAGACCUUCGGGUCUAGUGGCGCACGGGUGCGUAACGCGUGGGAACCUGCCCUUAGGUUCGGAAUAACAGUUGGAAACGACUGCUAAUACCGGAUAAUGUCUUCGGACCAAAGAUUUAUCGCCUUUGGAUGGGCCCGCGUUGGAUUAGCUAGUUGGUGGGGUAAUGGCCCACCAAGGCGACGAUCCAUAGCUGGUCUGAGAGGAUGAUCAGCCACACUGGGACUGAGACACGGCCCAGACUCCUACGGGAGGCAGCAGUGGGGAAUAUUGGACAAUGGGCGAAAGCCUGAUCCAGCAAUGCCGCGUGAGUGAUGAAGGCCUUAGGGUUGUAAAGCUCUUUUACCCGGGAUGAUAAUGACAGUACCGGGAGAAUAAGCUCCGGCUAACUCCGUGCCAGCAGCCGCGGUAAUACGGAGGGAGCUAGCGUUGUUCGGAAUUACUGGGCGUAGAGCGCACGUAGGCGGCUU